CACGUAGGGUGCGAGCGUUGUCCGGAAUUAUUGGGCGUAAAGAGCUCGUAGGCGGUGUGUCGCGUCGGCCGUGAAAACCUGCAGCUUAACUGUGGGCUUGCGGUCGAUACGGGCAUCACUGGAGUUCGGCAGGGGAGACUGGAAUUCCUGGUGUAGCGGUGAAAUGCGUAGAUAUCGGGAGGAACACCAGUGGCGAAGGCGACUACCUGGCCUGUUCUUGACGCUGAGGCGCGAAAGCUAGGGGAGCAAACGGGG
rnacentral:rRNA from 1 species